rnacentral:rRNA from 1 species
UAGGUGGGGUGUGUAAGCGCAGUGAUGUGUUGAGCUAACCCAUACUAAUUACCCGUGAGGCUUAACCAUACAACACCCAAGAAGUGUUCUG